GUUUGGGGGGGGGGGGGAUUUUUUGUUUACAUUUUUUUUAAAGGAUUCAUAUUUUUUUUUCAAAAUUUUUCAAAUUUUGAAUUUUUGAAAAGUUUCAAGAAGAAAUCUUCAAUUGCACAGUAUUGCGCAAUAGAUUUGUAAGGUCUUUGACCACAUUUAUUUUGUGUCAGAAACCUAUAUUUUGUCAAAAAUUUGAUCACAAUCCAAAUUCAGACAGUAUCAAGCUUGAAUAUUGUGUCCAAAUUUGCCCCAACUGUUCAGGGUUCGACCUCUGCGGUCGUAUCAGGCUGCGCUCAGAGUAGCAUUUUAUUUUUAGGUAUCAUUGCAAAGAAAUCAUUUAUACAUGGCUGGAUUCUUCACUAGUCCUCUUUUUUAAUUCCAAUUCAAGAUUUUUUUUAUUGCAAAUCAUGAAAUAAAGAAAUCUUGUUAGUUUCAAUAUUGAUUCCUUAGUGUAUUCAAGCAUCUGAUAUACAAUGUCUUAAAAUUUGAUGGCAAAACAUUAGUAUGCUUUUUAGCAUUAUCACAACAAUCAUAAUUUAAACAACUUCUUUUAGCAAUUAGCAUGACAAGUGAAGCAUGAAUAUCAAGACUAAAAAAUUAAUGUAAUUUUACUUAAUCUGUGUGUCUUAUAUGAAUAAUUAAAUGUGGGAAUAUUUUAUUAUUUGUUAGGGAGGAUGUAGUUAUGUUUUAACCUAUGACAUAAGUUACAGUGGAAGAUUUACAGGUAUAGUUUUUCAUCUUCUUUUAGGUCAAAAGUUUAUAAGGUUGUGAUUAGAUUAGUUAAAUAGGAAUCGGUUUAUAUAUAUAAUUAGUAAGUCAAUGAUUGAUGGUAUUUGUACCAUUGCACCUAUUUCAGUAAAACAUGAUUUCCCCAAAGGUACUUUGAAUAUACCAGUUUGAUUAAGGCCUGAAGAGUUUGUAAGAUGUGUUAUUAGAUUAGUUAAAUAGGAAUUGGUUUUGGUAAGUAAAUGAUAGAUUCUAUGUAGUUGUAUAAUCUUCAAUAAUACCUUCGUGUUAAUGGAAACAAUGUCGUUAUUUAGGCAGAGGGAAAUUAAGAAUUUGUAACUGGUGUUGAAAUUAAAGAGAGAAAUAAAGAUAACAAACAAUGAAUAAUUUUUUAAUUUAACUCUUAAUGUUCACUAGGCUUAUCAUACAUUUAUUUACUAUUUAUUUGCACUUUGAUUGUUACCAUGCAAUAUAUAUAUUCGUUUAUAUUACAUUGUCAUUGGACAGGUAUCUCUAUGGAUUAGAAUUUAAUCAUGGAGGAGCUUUCACCAGGACAAAACCCAGCACAUCAUGACCAAAAUUAUUAAAUAUUUCAUUUUGCAAAAUUUCACGAUUUCUGUAUUUUUAUAGAGUAUUGAAGAAAUCAUUUACUAUGAUGUCAAUUACAAUUGCCGUCUUUAUAUCCAUGUCACAAUUCAAAGUAGUAUAAAGUCUCACCUCCGGUUGCUGGAUUUUCUCGCUGCAUUGAAGACCCAUUGGUGGCCUUCGGCUGUAGUCUGCUUUUGGCUGGGUUGUUGUCUCUUUGACAUGUUCCCCAUUUCCAUUCUCAAUUUUGUCAAUUGAAUCCAGGUAUUUCAGUCAUAUUUCCUCUGAAUCAUUGUAUUGAAUAAAUUUAUUUCGAGUUAGAUAUUGAGUUUGAUCAAAUUCAUUUCAUGCUCUAUGUGUAAUCUUGUUACAAUGGUUUUCUGUCACUCUUUGUUAUUUAUUUUUUUGCAUUUUCAAAUUGUUAUUUUGUAAAUAUUAAAAAUUUAAGAGAGAAUGAACAUUCAAUUGGGUCACAAAUUAUUAGUUAUUUACAAUUAUUUUAUGAAUCUUUUAUCUAUUUGUGUAAUGACAGGUAUUUACCAUAGAUAAAAGAAAAUAGUAUUUUGGUUUUAUUUAGAGAUAAAAAUGUGAUAUGUCUGUCUUAAAAAAAAAGCUUAAAAAACAUCAUUUGAAUAUACAUUCUUUAAUUGUUUGAGCAUAAAGCAAGUACAGUUUUCGUGAUAUUUGUCAGGUUCAAGGGUCAUUUUUAUACGACAGCAAAAAAAUUUUGUGGUCAUAUAUUGGUAUGACGUCGGCGUUGUCCGAAAACACAUUGGUUUUCGCACUCUAACUUUAGUUUAAGUGAAUUGAUCUUUAUAAAAUUUUACCAUAAGGUUCAAUACCACAAAAGGAAGGUUGGGAUUGAGUUUGGGGGUUAUGGUACCAACAGUUAAGGAAUAAGGGGCCAAAAAGGGGCCAAAAAUAAGCAUUUUUGUAACUUCCAGACAUAACUUGUGUUAGUUUAUAGAUCUCUCUGACAUUGUACCACAGGGUUCCAUAUCACAAAGGGAAUGCUGGGAUUGAUUUUGGGGGUAAUUGCCUCAAAAUUUUGGGAAUUAGGGGCCAAAAAAGGGGGGGAAAAACAAGCAUUUUUCUAGUUUCAUGACAAUAACUUGUGUGUAAGUGUAUAGAUCUUUCUGAAAUUGUACUACAAGGUUCCAUAUCACAAAGGAAAAGCUUGAAUUGAGUUUGGGGGUAAUUGCCCAAAACGUUUAGGAAUAAGGGGCCAAAAAGGGGCCAAAAAUAAGCAUGUUUCUAGUUUCCAGAAAAUAACUUGUGUUCAAGUGUAUGGAUCUCUCUGAAAUUGUACUGCAAGGUACCAUACUACAAAGGGAAGGCUGAGAUUGAUUUUGGGGGUAAUUGCCUCAAAAUUUUAGGAAUUAGGGGCCAAAAAAGGGGCAAAAAUCAAGCAUUUUUCUAGUUUCAGGACAAUAACUUGUGUGUAAGUGUAUGGAUCUUUAUGAAAUUGUACUACAAGGUUCCAUAUCACAAAGGGAAUGCUGGGAUUGAUUUUGGGAGUAAUUGCCUCAAAAUUUUAGGAAUUAGGGGCCAAAAAAGGGGCAAAAAACAAGCAUUUUUCUAGUUUCAUGACAAUAACUUGUGUGUAAGUGUAUGGAUCUUUCUAAAAUUGUACUACAAGGUACCAUACCACAAAGGGAAGGCUGGGAUUGAUUUUGGGGGUAAUUGCCUCAAAACUUUAGGAAUUAGGGGCCAAAAAGAGGCAAAAAACAAGCAUUUUUCUAGUUUCAGGACAAUAACUUGUGUGUGAGUGUAUGGAUCUUAAUGAAAUUGUACUACAAGGUUCCAUAUCACAAAGGGAAAGCUGGGUUUGAGUUUGGGGGUAAUUGCCCUAAACAAUUAGGAAUUUGGGGCCAAAAAGGGGCAAAAAACAAGCAUUUUUCUAGUUUCCAGACAAUAACUUGUGUUCAAGUGUAUGAUCUCUCUGAAAUUGUACUGCAAGGUACCAUACCAUAAAGGGAAGGCUUAGAUUGGGUUUGGGGCUGAUGAAUCAUAAGGGGGUUCAAAAAGUUUGGGGGGAGGGAUUUUUUUUUCCCUUUUAUUUUCUUUAAAUUUUCCAUUUCAAAUGGGUUAUUUCUGAUUUAUAUGUAAAAGAAAAAUAAUAAUGAUAUGGUUUGAAUAGGUCAAUUAAUAAUUUAUAAGUUCUUAGACCACAUUCAUUCUGUGUCAGAAACCUAUGCUGUGUCAAAUAUUUAAUCACAAUCCAAAUUCAGUGUGUAUCAAGCUUGAAUGUUGUGUACAUUCUUGCCCCAACUGUUCAGGGUUCAACCUCUGCGGUCGUAUCAAGCUGCGCCCAGCGGAGUAUUUUAUUCCAAAUCGUAUGAAAUGGAUAAAGAUACAAAUAAUAUAUUUACCAUCAAUCAAACAAUAUACACUUUUAUUUGAAUAGCUACCACUUUUAUGUUUGAUUUUCUUCCCCUUUUUCAUUCACAAACGUUGGCCAUGGUGUUAUAAUUAGUUACAGUAAAAAUAGGGUAACACCAAAUCUGAUUAUCUCCCUUUAUAUAUCAAAGAAUUUGUAACUUAUUACAGUCAAGGUUUGUCAAACAAAACAAUAUGUUUUGCUUUUUGGUUGAGGUUAUUAUGAAGAAGUUCAACAUUUUUGUUAUAUAUGUAAUAUUUAAUUCAAAGCAAGAUUGGAAGUUUGAAAAUAAAAUGUUUUAUGCUGUUUCACAGGGGAGAUAAUCAAAUAUAACUUUAACCAGUAUUUUAAGGUUAAACUAUGAUUUUAACUUAGCACGCCAAAAUUCAUUUCUAUGCAAUAGGGUAUUUUGUUGAGCACUCAUUUAAUGUAUUUUGUUUAUGUUUUUAUCAACAGAUAUUUGUUGUUGUACACAAACUGUUUGAAAAUAAUUAUUAAACCUGUAACCAUG